GUGUGAUUUGACUAAAUCUUCUUGUGUUUUGACCCGAGUCUGUUCAGGUUCUCAACCUACUCUCGUGACCUUACCCUCAGGAAUCCUUUGGAGCCCACCAGUCCAGAAGAAUCCAUCUGUGACGCCUCUGCUGCCGACUCAGCUGCUCCCCUGUGGGGACACACCUGACCUGCCACCCUCCAACGUCUGGAUCCUUCCCAACCUGCCUCCAAAGCUCUCUCCACUGCCUGGAACCCCGUUCCUCCACCCGAUUGUCCAAACGCACCCGGACUCCGACCCGCUGACCUCCCUAGUCGGGCUACCUUGUUUGAUUUUUUGUAUUUUACAAUAAACACUCUUUUCAUCCA